UACGGGAGGCAGCAGUAGGGAAUCUUCCGCAAUGGACGAAAGUCUGACGGAGCAACGCCGCGUGAACGAUGAAGGCUUUCGGGUCGUAAAGUUCUGUUGUUAGGGAGAACAAGUACCAGAGUAACUGCUGGUACCUUGACGGUACCUAACCAGAAAGCCACGGCUAACUACGUGCCAGCAGCCGCGGUAAUACGUAGGUGGCAAGCGUUGUCCGGAAUUAUUGGGCGUAAAGCGCGCGCAGGUGGUCCUUUAAGUCUGAUGUGAAAGCCCACGGCUCAACCGUGGAGGGUCAUUGGAAACUGGGGGACUUGAGUGCAGAAGAGGAAAGUGGAAUUCCACGUGUAGCGGUGAAAUGCGUAGAGAUGUGGAGGAACACCAGUGGCGAAGGCGACUUUUCUGGUCUGUAACUGACACUGAGGCGCGAAAGCGUGGGGAGCGAACAGGGAUUAGAUACC
rnacentral:rRNA from 1 species